rnacentral:rRNA from 1 species
UACGUAGGAGGCGAGCGUUGUCCGGAAUUACUGGGCGUAAAGAGCGCGUAGGCGGCACGGUACGACCGGUGUGAAAGCCCCCGGCUCAACUGGGGAGGGUCACCGGUAACGGCCGAGCUAUGAGUGCAGGAGAGGGAAGUGGAACUCCGGGAGUAGCGGUGAAAUGCGUAGAGACCCGGAGGAACACCAGUGGCGAAGGCGGCUUCCUGGUCUGCAACUGACGCUGAGGCGCGAAAGCUAGGGGAGCAAACAGG